AUUAGAAGACAUCUGAAAAGAGAAGAUGUCUCAUCAAUUCGGCCUGUUGUUGGGCUUCUAGCACUGACCAGGACAACUCACUUGUGUCACUGCCAACAUCUCCUCCUGUGGCAGGACAGCUCCUUGGACUUUCUUUGGAAAAUACCUCUGAGAACAACACCCAUGAGGUUGUUGAUGCCCCAUGUGUCAAUACGGGAAAGACAGUUGGCCAGAGAACCAGAAACAUGGCCUCUAUUUUAAAGUUCACUGAUGACAUCCUCAGGCAGCCUGAGGUGCAAGAGGUUUUAAACAAAACUGACUGUGACUUGGAUCACUGUAAUGAAGAAGGUGCUCAAAUAGAACAUCCACUUGAGUCCAAACUUUUUGGAGUCUCUUUGAAAAGUAUUUGUAAAAACGACUAUCUGCCAAAACCUAUCAUGGAUAUUCUUUUGUUCCUGAAUGAAAAAGGCCCUCUGAAGGAAGGCAUCUUCUUUGUACCGGCCAAUAUGGAAUACUGCCAACAACUAAAAGAAAAACUUAAUUGUGGAGUACCAGUACAGCUGUACUGGGAAAAUGCCUUCGUGCUGGCAUCUAUCUUAAUGGAUUUUCUAAAAGAAAUUCCUGGAAGUAUUUUGUCAUCAGAUCUUUAUGAUGAGUGGGUUGGUAUCAUGGAUAAUGGAGAGGAUGAAGACAAAAUAAAUAAAAUUCAAAGGCUUUUAGAGAAGCUUCCAAGAGCAAAUGUCAUGCUCUUAAACUAUCUAUUUGCCUUGCUGUAUAAUAUUGAGAAAAAUUCUGCAUCAAAUCAGAUGGAUUCAUCAAACCUGGCAGCAUGUGUGGCUCCCACCAUUCUUUGGCCUGAUACUUCCUGCGGCUCAGAACCAGAAAAUGAAUUGGCAGGAAAGGUUACACUGCUCUUUCAAUUUAUGCUAGAGAAAUGUGAAACGGUAUUUGGAGGAGAAGUCACAUCCCUUUAUGGAGAAUCUUCAGGGACACAUGGCGCUAGAGAAAAUACCUCAGAUGUUUCUCACUUUGAACUGAGUGACUCCUCCACAGCAGAGAGCCUUGAAUGUGAGCUAAAUGAGGAUGACGUUUAUGCCCCAUUCCCUGAUGUGGCAAAGGACCUUGGUCACUGGAAGACAAGCAUACAGUCUAUGCUAAUGGACAUUGAGAAUCUUGAUCCAGCCGAGGUGGCAUACCUUUUAUCACUCAAUGACUUCCUCUUGGAGCAUCCUGAAUAGGAAGUUGCUCAAAUGGAUGGGCCUCUUAAAGCCACACCACAUUUUCAUUCUCACAAAUAGUUUUGAGCUUGAGAACACAGGUGUUAUUACUAUCUCCAUUAUAUAGCAUGGAGACUAAGACUCAGAGAGUUAAAGUCACUUAUCCAAGGACACUUAAAAAGUGAAUGGCAGAAUGAAGGCUCUCGGGCUGGUUUUCUGACUCUGGACCUGCGAUCUCUUGAGGACAAGAGUUGUUGAAAAAGUGGGAGAAGUGCAUCUUCAUGGCUUCAAAGGAAUUCUGUUACUUCUAUACAUAAAGUGCUGUAAGGAGAAGAACUUCUGGUCAGCUCCUGAGGCAGGUCUCUUACAGGCAAAGCAGAGUGCCUCCGGAGAGCAAAGCUACAAUGAGGGCAUCCAACGUGGGAACCUGUGAUAUGCAUGCUAAACUCAAACUAAGGUGAUGGCCAGUGACAUGGCAUUAAAAAUGUUGUGAAUUGGGGUUUUCAAAGGCCUGUCCACAGGGCUUAAGGGCUAUUUUGUUUAUUCCCUGCUCUCCAGGGGCCCUAAUGAUUUGUUCUAAAUCAAAUUGAUUUAAAUGAAUAAGUAACCAGUCAGAAAUAAUGUUUUCAAUCAGUCAAUUUGUAAUUUUUCUUUUUUGGUUAAGAAUAUUGGCUAUACCUUUACAAAAAUAAGUAUCCAAGCUUAGAAAAUAGUAUUACAAUCAUUAUUAUAUUUUUUGUUAGUUCACUUAGAGUAAGGGGGUAAAUAAUAGUGUAACUGGCUCCAUAAGGUAGAAGAUAGUUUCUCAAUAGUAUUUUUAGUUUCCUCACCUUUCAAAUGAGUUUUCAACGUACACAUUGUGACUGUGGCUGGCAGCUGUUUAGUAACUCUGACAGUAAGAUUUAUCUCGCCCUGGUAGCUUAGCAGCUACAGUCUCAAAAUAGGCAGAAAAUAGGCAGAGAUACAUUUUCUCUUGAGUUUCUUUACCAGGAAUGGUGGAACCUUCUACAAAGCCUCACACCACCUGUUUGAAGAAGAAAAGGCAACAUCGACACCCCCCCUUGUUGGUUUGUUACCCACUUGGGGACUCAUCCAGGAUCCAUUGCUCGUGGAUUGGUGGCCAGGGAAUGGGGAGAGACUUUAAAAUCUCCCUGGCAACUGCCUAGCUGAGUUUCUGUCGGAGCUGUCCAGAGCCUGCUUAACAUACUGUUAACCUCCGAGGAGCAUUGCAUUGUCCUGGAAAAGACUAAAGUAGAAGCUGAACGAUUGCAUGCAGAAGACCCAGAUAACCAUGUGAGAACUAGAGCUGAUUUAGCCAUCCCAACACAUGACCCCAUCUGGAACCCAAACAAUGGAGAAGAAGGUUCCAGUUUCUGACAGACAUGCCCCUUCAUUCCAUAAUGCCAGGAGACCAGGUGUUACUAAAAACCUGGAGAAACCGGCAUCCUGAAGAUCAACUACGGCCAGAGUGGAUCAGCCCAUUUGAGGUGCUCCUGAAAACUCACUCAAUAGUUAAACUCAGAAGAGUUACCUUACCUUCUGAGGGAUUGGAGAAGCAGUGGACUUGUGAGCCCUUAGAGGACCUAAAAUUACUCCCCCAUAAAAGAGAUAAGUAACAUGAAAUUAUAUAACCUAUACAUCUUAUUUGUUUCUUGGGAAUUUUUGCUUGCCUGGCAAGACAAUUCUUUAGUUAGAAUUUCGCAAGCUAUUGCCUCCUCUGCUAGCCUGUCUGACUGCUGGGUCCAUCAUCCAAAACCUCAUUCAGUAUAAGACCAUUCUGACCCUAUAUUUGUCCCUAUAUGCAACUUCAUUAAUAUACCCUCCUGCACUUGGAAUUUACAGAAGCCUGUCUCUUGGAUUACCUACAGAGUAUGACUAAUAACUCUCUACUCACAAGUCCCAUGUUUCUUUCUUACCCAGCCCCUUAUCAGACAUAUUAUGUACAAAGUAACAGUAGGGUCCCAUACUAUCAUAAUUAUACUUUCUACUGGACCAUUGGUCUCUCUAGAUUGACCACUGAUUGUAAAAUCCCAACUAUUACAGUCUUUUUUACACCACCCUCUUUAGAUUGUGUUAUUAAGAAAUGUUUUAACCCCUCAGACAAGGAUCAUGAGGCCCUUAUCUGUACCCUAGUACAUCAACAAAAGCUAUAUUCUCAAGACUUUGGGAAACUAGUAGUCUGUUAGCUCCCAGAGGGACAGGAUCCAUUACACAGGCCAUUGGUUUAAAAAUUUAACCCUAAUGUUGCCUAAAAAUGGUUGUAUAAACCUUGAAACAGGAACAGCUACUGUUUGUGUACCCGUUGGGUAUAUUUUUGUCUAUAAAGAUAAGAAACGAA